rnacentral:rRNA from 1 species
GAUGAACGCUAGCUACAGGCUUAACACAUGCAAGUCGAGGGGUAACGAGAGGAAAGCUUGCUUUCCUUGUCGACGACCGGCGCACGGGUGAGUAACGCGUAUCCAACCUGCCCCCAACUAGGGAAUAACCUUGCGAAAGUAAGACUAAUACCCUAUAAUUUCCUAAGAUGUCAUCUGACGAGGAAUGAAGAUUCAUCGGUUGUGGAUGGGGAUGCGUCUGAUUAGCUUGUAGGCGGGGUAACGGCCCACCAAGGCAACGAUCAGUAGGGGUUCUGAGAGGAAGGUCCCCCACAUUGGACCUGAGACACGGUACAAACUCCUACGGGAGGCAGCAGUGAGGAAUAUUGGUCAAUGGGCGGAAGCCUGAACCAGCCAAGUAGCGUGCAGGAUGACGGCCCUAUGGGUUGUAAACUGCUUUUAUACGGGAAUAAAGUUAGCCACGUGUGGUUAUUUGUAGGUACUGUAUGAAUACGGACCGGCUAAUUCCGUGCCAGCAGCCGCCGUAA